UACGGGGGGUGCUAGCGUUGUUCGGAAUCAUUGGGCGUAAAGAGCGUGUAGGCGGCUGGAUAAGUCAGAUGUGAAAGCCCUGGGCUUAACCCAGGAAGUGCAUUUGAAACUGUUCAGCUAGAGUAAGGGAGAGGAAAGUGGAAUUCCUGGUGUAGAGGUGAAAUUCGUAGAUAUCAGGAGGAACACCGGUGGCGAAGGCGACUUUCUGGCCCUAUACUGACGCUGAGACGCGAGAGCGUGGGUAGCAAACAGG
rnacentral:rRNA from 1 species